rnacentral:ncRNA from 1 species
GUGUAGUAUGAAAGGAGAGACGUUUAGCACUCCCCUAGACAAGGAUGGACACAUAUAAUUGGUAAGGCACUUGUCGUCAUUUGACGGCACUUACCACAUUUUUUA